ensembl:lncRNA
UUUACCUAUGUAUGUGUUUAGGAUCCAAAAGGAACAGGUUUUCUGGUACAUUUUUAAACAUCAUUUUUUGUUCCCAAUGAAUUCUAGUUUGUUUUUAUCUGAUUUUGCUUUCAUGUCUUAUCACCAUCUCCUGUCAUUUCAGAUCCGGCCACCCCCACAUGCCUGGCAAUCUCCUCAUCCCUCUCACCUGGUAUUCCCCGUCCAUCUCUUCACCUGCAGCUCAUCUCCUCAUCAGUAUCUCGGUUAAGAUUGCUCAGAAGUUAGAGAAUUUGGCUUCCAAAGCAAGGACACAGGGUAACGUUAAACAAUGGGUGGAGAGGCAAGAGAAACUGCUUGAAAUUGAGUUCAAACGGGUGCGAGAUAGUCUUACUGAGCAAUAUACAGAGCUUCGAUAUCUGCUGGACCGCAACAUGAAACAGGCGUUCAAGCUGUUGGAGACCCAGCGGGAGAGUCAGAAGAAGACCGUGUAUCAUCU